GGACCUCUCUCUGCUCGUGUGCUGCCUUCUUCUGUGUGGCCAGUCCUGUGUGUGGUCUGUGGGGAGACCUGCCCCACUGUGGAAGCUGUAGCAGUGAGCACUGGUGUCAUCUGCCCUUUGGAGAGGAGGCACGAAGAGAAGGUUCACGAUUAACUGCACCAAUGUUGCAUCUACAGGGUGUCCCCUGAGGUCCAAUAAACCCUUGCACUGGACUGUGACAGCAGGAAACCAUUGUAGAGCUCUAAAAGAAUCAACAGAAGAGGAUGGUGCUGGUGUCCCUUUGGCUUGGGAAAUGGACCAUUUACACUUCACAGCAUUGUCAGAUGGGGUGUUGGCAGUGCCAACCCAAAGAAACCAGGGGUGUACUCAAGAGUGAGGAUUUUCCUGGGCUGGAUGGGACUGCUGA